rnacentral:misc_RNA from 1 species
UAUCCGUAGGUGAACCUGCGGAAGGAUCAUUACUGAAUUACGGUUUUGCGCGGCCUGUCGGUGACCGGAACGCUCGUUCAAGCCUACCUUGUCGCACACACGUCCAUCCCGCCCCGAUCUGCACCACCGCGCCGGUCCGCCUUUGGCUUGUUCGGCGGGGGGCGUACGUUUUCCCACAAACUUUGUAUGCAGUCUAGAAUGUAUUUAUUUUUUUUGCUAUCACGAAAACAAAACCACUUACAACAACGGAUCUUUUUUCUCUCGCAUCGAUGAAGAGCG